rnacentral:rRNA from 1 species
CAGCAGCCGCGGGAAUACGAAGGGUGCAAGCGUUACUCGGAAUUACUGGGCGUAGAGCGUGCGUAGGUGGUGGUUUAAGUCCGUUGUGAAAGCCCUGGGCUCAACCUGGGAAUUGCAGUGGAUACUGGGUCACUAGAGUGUGGUAGAGGAUAGUGGAAUUUCCGGCGUAGCAGUGAGAUGCGUAGAGAUCGGAAGGAACAUCUGUGGCGAAGGCGACUAUCUGGGCCAACACUGACACUGAGGCACGAAAGCGUGGGGAGCAAACAGGAUUAGAUACCCCUGUAGUCCCUGUCUCUUAUAC